GGAGCCCUGGUCUGAUUCUGAUAGGGUUAUCUUUCAAGUCCGCCGUAUCACACGCCACACGACCUGACAGAAUUUAUUUUCAAACCAUAAAGAAUACCUUUAUGAUAUCGAGUCAUAAUCGAAUAGGUUUGGGAACGUAGUAGUGAAAUAACAACUCUUGUCAUGCCGGCAACUGGCAAUAGAGUAAAAACAAAAAAGGGUUCUGGUAAAUCUUCGGUAGAUACUUCGUCAACAACGAGCAACCAGGUGAAACGGAAACCCCGGGACCGGAAAUGUCGGGACUGUAAGACAACGAUUACCCCUCAAGCUACAAGGUGCAUUCCUUGUGCAAGUGAAAGGAGGAUCACGAACAAAUGCAUCAAGUGCAGGAAAAGUAUUUCUGAUAAUGCAAAAAGAUGUCAUGCCUGUGAGAAUAGAAGUAGGCAUAACUAAUUAAAGUCUACUACCAAUCCCAACACAGUAGCUGACUGAGGAUCAUCAAGCGAUAGGUAGUGGAUGGUCAGAAUGAUCGACAGCAAUGGCAACCUACACCCGCGAAAUGAUAAUGUAAAAAUCCAAUCUGAAUGUUUCUUUCCUUCGUCCAUCAUGUGAUCAAGCGCUGUAAUCUGACAUAUCAUAAGGGGGAAAAGAACUGUCAUAGCUGCACCUAUCCCCAGAAAACCUCUAAUUUUUUUUUACUUCAUUUGCAAAGCUUUACUCAAUGAAUUACGGAGAAUUUACAUACUUCUUCAAUCAAGUCUUACAUAUCAGCAAAAAAAUGGGUAUCAUUUUGUUUAUAUAAGUGCCACACGAACUACGAACCCGUAUGUUUUCUUUCUUAUUGGGACCAGAAGGACCUAAUUUAAUUACGCAAAAGGCAAAAUAUGAAAAGCUCAUGGAAUAUCAAUAAUGCAUCCUUCAUUAUGUUCUUUGGAAAUGUGUCGAAUACAAUUGUUUAUGAUAUUUUCAUAAUAAACUUAGUAUGAGCAAGAAUGUCGGAUGUUUAAUUCAUUUGACUAAAAAGAAAGGUGGACUUGGGUUGAUUUAAAGUUCAUACACUCAUCUGUAUAUUUAUUUGCGUUGAAUAGAAUUGAAGAAUUUAACAUAAUCCAACAUUCAAAGCAAAACACGUAUUGAAUACUGUAAAUAUAACAGGGGCGGGGGCAAAGCCAAAAAAUAUAUUUUGGUGCAAACGGACAUUUUCACCCAAAGAUUAUCAUCUGUGUAAAGAAGUUGUGUUGUUUUUAAUACUUAAAUUGAGCAAAUUUUUUUAAAAGUGAUUUCUUAUUGAUAAGAUAUAUUCUGGAAAUUUCAUGUAAUAAGACAUGAAAAGUAAACAUUCCGAGCAGUUUUGGUAUUCAUGAAAAAAGGAUUUGAAUCUAACUAAAGAAUUAACUCGAGCGCGAAACGCGAGCUGAAAUUUUUAUUAUACUGACCAGAAAAGAAACCUUCUAAAGACUGCAUUUUGUGACUCAUGAAUAGAAUACGGGCUAAAUAUCUCACCAAUCUAAUAAUGCGAGAGCGAGCUAAAAAUUUAUGAUAUUCUAACCAGAAAACUGGACAUUCUAGGCAUUUAUUUAACCAGAAACAUAAUGACUACCUAAAUAAACAAUAAUUGAUGCAAGCGCGAAGCGCGAGCCCAAAUCUUGUGAUUUUCAAACCUAAAAUGUAUUAUGUUUUACUUCAAAAAGGGUAUUUCAUUCUGAAAAAGGGCUCAUUUCAUUUUGAAAAAUGGGCAAUUUCCAUUUUGAAAAAGGUUUUUUUUCCUACGGUGAUUUUUUGGAGGGCACUUCCCCCCCCCCCGGUUCUGCCGCCCCUCAGAUAUAAUGAUAGCCCACGCAAACGUCAACGCCUCCAAACAGAUUUGGUGUGAGGUAUGGUUAUUGUGUCGUUAGAGCUGAAUCAAUCUUUACUUUCAUGUUACUUUCAUGUAACUAUGUGUCUUACUGCAAUUCUCCAUAUAAGUAUUUGUAAAAUUGAGAAUGAUCCAUAUCAAUAAAAUUUUGAAACUUGAAAAUUGUUACCCUAAA